rnacentral:rRNA from 1 species
AUACGUAGGUGGCAAGCGUCGUCCGGAAUUAUUGGGCGUAAAGCGCGCGCAGGCGGUCCUUUAAGUCUGAUGUGAAAGCCCACGGCUCAACCGUGGAGGGUCAUUGGAAACUGGGGGACUUGAGUGCAGAAGAGGAAAGUGGAAUUCCAAGUGUAGCGGUGAAAUGCGUAGAGAUUUGGAGGAACACCAGUGGCGAAGGCGACUUUUUGGUCUGUAACGGACGCUGAGGCGCGAAAGCGUGGGGAGCAAACAGGAUUAGAUACCCUGGUAGUCCACGCCGUAAACGAUGAGUGCUAAGUGUUAGGGGGUUUCCGCCCCUUAGUGCUGCAGCUAACGCAUUAAGCACUCCGCCUGGGGAGUACGGUCGCAAGACUGAAACUCAAAUGAAUUGACGGG